AUUGAACGCUGGCGGUAGGCCUAACACAUGCAAGUCGAACGGCAGCACAGUAAGAGCUUGCUCUUACGGGUGGCGAGUGGCGGACGGGUGAGGAAUACAUCGGAGUCUACUUUUUCGUGGGUGAUAACGUAGGGAAACUUACGCUAAUACCGCAUACGACCUACGGGUGAAAGCAUGGGAUCUUCGGACCUUGCGCGAUUGAAUGAGCCGAUGUCGGAUUAGCUAGUUGGCGGGGUAAAGGCCCGCCAAUGCGACGAUCCGUAGCUGGUCUGAGAGGAUGAUCAGCCACACUGGAACUGAGACACGGUCCAGACUCCUACGGGAGGCAGCAGUGGGGAAUAUUGGACAAUGGGCGAAAGCCUGAUCCAGCCAUACCGCGUGGGUGAAGAAGGUCUUCGGGUUGUAAAGCCCUUUUGUUGGGAAAGAAAAGCAGCAGGUUAAUACCCCGCUGUUCUGACGGUACCCAAAGAAUAAGCACCGGCUAACUUCGUG
rnacentral:rRNA from 1 species